ACGGCACGGCACGGAGACGGGAUGGAGACGGCACAGCCGCAGCAUGGAGACAGCACGGAGACGGCACGCGGGCGCUCCGGCCACGGCUCCGUCUCAGUGACCGGGAAAAGGGGGAAAAGCGGGAGAAAAAUGUCUCUGGGAAAGGCUGUAACCGGCCGGGCAGAACCGGCUCUUGCCGGCGGAAAAUCCCUGGGAUUCGCCCCAAACUCGCGCCGCCCCGAGGAGCCGGGCGGGGAAAGGGGGCUUUCCCGGCCGGGCGCCCGGUCUCUUCCCGUGGGAGCAUCCCGGCGGCGAGGGAUGCCGGGACGCGGCGCUUCCCGGGAUCACCCGCCGCUGCGGCUGUGCCGCCCCGGUUACAGUCGCUGCAGUUACAGCCGCCCGGCGCCCCGGUUACAGUCGCUGCAGUUACAGCCGCCCGGCGCGGCGGUUACAGCCUCUCCGGCGACAUUUUCCCGGGGGAGCGCCCGGGGGCCGCCAGACUUGCCUUGUGCCGCCGGAAAGAGAGGGAGAGGCGGAGAGCGAGAAACGGGGGAAUCUGCAAGGAAACGCACAGAGGUGAGCGGCGGCGGCGGCACCGGAGACGUCGGCGGCACCGGGAGAUGCCGGCACUGGGAGACGCCGGCACUGGGACGCCCGGAGCCGGUUCAGCCCCCUGGGAGCCUCAGCGUCACCCCGAGCUCCCCCGGGGCGGUUCCAGCUUUUUUCCCCCCAAAAGGCGCCGGGAUUUGGCCGGGAAGAGGCAGCUGCCGGCGGGGAAGGGAUGGGAGCGAUCCCGGGCGGAAAACCGGCACCGCUUCCCCGGGGGACCUGGCGGCUCCGGCCGCUCUUCCCUCGGCACCGGGUCCCGCUUUCGGCACCGGGCCCCGCUAACGAAGCGCGCUGCUAACGAGGCCCCCGCGGUUCCGGGAUGGAUAACGGGGACGAGCAGAGGCCCCGCGGCUCCUCCCGUCGCUCCGGAGAGGCCGGCGCUUUUCUGYGGAUCCCCCUGGGCCCAGGGGCUCCGGGAGGGGGUCGGAAACCCCCCGCGAUCCCUUCGGCCGCUUCCCAGGAAAACAAACCGCCUUGGAGGGAAGCGGCGGCUCCGGCGGCGCGAGGGCGUUUGGGGGGGGGCGGAACGGCGGCGGGUUUCCCGGGAUCGCCGGCGCUCCGCUGCUCCGGC
rnacentral:lncRNA from 1 species